rnacentral:lncRNA from 1 species
ACCCAGAUCUCAACUGUGGUUCGAGGAAGCCUGUAGCAUGUGCAGUAGCCACACUCUGGGAAACUGUGUUGGCAGAUGGGCUAGAACUGAUUGAGAGUAACCAACAGGUCUCAAAACCAUUGGUGAAUUGGGAUAUAUAUCUACCCUAAGCAUUCAAAGACUUUUCCUAGUGGAUAUGUCAGAUGAGAAUAAUUUGUUCCAACAGUAAUGAGGGCAACAGAAGCAAGCACUGUGGAGAACUUAGAACUUGCUCACUCAGACAUUAAAGAAGCCAAGGCCAUCUACUGCAUUCCAGGCUGCAGCCAGAUGUGACUUUUGUCUUGAGAAGGGCAAAAAUGGACAUUCAUGAAAUAGAGGAUUUUCCAACAUUCCUGAUGAAAAGAACAGAGAUAAAUGGAAAAUUUGACUCUCAAAUACAAGACUCAAGAAAAGCAUUAAAAGCUCUGGAAAUAAUGAACAAUUAUGAUCAGCAAUAA